GUACAGUUCGAGAUCAGCAUUGUUACAGUAACAAAAAAGCUAACAAGACUACAUUAUAGAAAAACACCAAGAACAUCAUUUUUGGUUUCACUUGCUCUAUUUUUUUUGUUUUUGUUUUUUUUUUGUUUUUGUUUGUUUUUUUGUUUUUUUAUGUUGUUGUUUUUUUUGUUUUUGUUUUUGUUUUUUUUUUUUUGUACAUUGCAAAGGCUGUUCAUAUACCUCUUUACCUCAGGGUCACGUUCAUUUAUGCUUUCUUUCCUACCCAAACUUGCCCCCCCUCCCCCCCCAAAGAAAGUAAACAAAACAAAAAACUAGUCAAAGCUUUGUUUCACAGUGGGCAGUACCUCAGCGCCAACCAACCAACUCAGUUUUAUGCUUCUAUUUAAAAUGUUUUACUUUAAUUUAUUAUUUAAAAAAAAUAUAUGUCCAUGAACAUCAAGUGCACUGGCUUGGGUCACUGCCUCUCUCCUGCAACUUCCUGCCAUGCCUGAUAAACUCAGGUUUCAACACGUGCCGCCCGUUUUACUUUCCUUUCAAUUGUGUAAAACUUUGGCCACAUUCAUCUUUUUAAAUAGCUUUUAAUUAAAAACAAAACUUCCUAGAUGCAUUAAGUGUGUGAAUGAGUGUGAGUGUGUGUGUGUUCCUUAAGUUUCUUUAGGGAGGGAUAAAGGACGCAUGAAAUAACUCCAAUUCUGACAGGUAUCUUGGUGCUGUGUGUCUAAUAGUGUCUGGCACCGAGCCACAUCAUGAAGGAACUAAGGGGGCAAAAUUCGCCCAAUAACUUAAAAAAAGGAAGAAAAAAAAAAAAGAAGAAGAAGUGCCAAUAGAAGUCACGAACUAGUUUUAAAGGUGAGUUGAGAUGGUCCACUCAACGACUCACUCCGACAGCAGGCAGGAGUAAACUCCCCGGGUGAGAUCUGUCUACACAACUGAGCACUGUAGUUAACCAAUGCCUUGUGAACUGCUACCGAUCACAGCCACUUGUCUGCCUUCUGGUUUUUACCAUCACUGACUGCUUCGCUAUUUCUGGGUUAGUGCUGAGAGUUUCUUCUUUGAUGAACAUGUAGGUGGGUUGGUGGUGCGGCUACAGAGGAAUGCGUUCGUGAACCCACUUCCGGGUUGAACCAAUCCCACACCUCCUUUGAGGAAUACUGACGGGUAGAAGCAUGCUUGGCCAUUCUACCCAACCUUACCGUAUUGUUGCCAAAACACACUCACAGGUCAAGGCAUGGCACAG
rnacentral:lncRNA from 1 species